AUGGGUCUCGGCGCGCAAAAACAGUUUAUGGUAGUCUUUGGAUGUUCUUCAUUCUUCAUUUCCUUGCAUUUUUCAAUAAAAUAUUUUUUAACCGAAACCGAAGAAGAAAGCAGCUGCAAGACUACCAUAAAAUUUUUGCGCGCCGAGACC
ensembl:ncRNA F40F12.10 ncRNA